UCCCCGCGGUCGCUGCUGCGGAGACCCCUUGGGGCUCUUCCCCUCUGUGGGCGGCCAUCGCUCCUACAGCGUCCUGCGCCUGGCCCUGUAGGCUGGACAGGAGCCGGCGGUUUUGUCACCAGGACGCAGAGCAGGAGGCCGGCUCGGAAGUGGGUUUGUGAUGGCUCAUAGUUUUCAACACCUACAAGGAGCUACCCAUGGAGGCUGAGGGACACAUCCCUGGCAUGGUGGACUUGCAGUCUAGCAGGGUGUAGAGACAAACGUGCAGGACAAUUAAUUGUGGUUGCAUGUGGUUCGUGCUCUCCUCAACAAAUGACUUCCCUUAUUGGAAACUUCAGCAUGAAAAGAAAUGCCUGACUCUUAGGUGAAACGUGAUCCUUCUGUGGCCAUAAACUUUAAACUCAAUUUAUUACGCUGGAGAGGUUUUUGGACAAACCUGUAAGGAAAUUAUAUAACACAAUCAUUGUUUUCUAAAGAACAGAUUACAGGGAAGGAAAAUUGAUCUUACAGCUGCUUUUGAUUUGGUAAAGCAACUAAGAAAAAAUAUCCAAGACUCUAAGAGCACAACAUGUUUAGCUGUAAAAGUGUUUUUCUGAAGAUCUCAUUCUCAUCUGCUAUCAUCUGCCUGUCCAAGGCCAAGGCAGUUAGAGAUCAUAUAUGUACUGUUUCCAAAGUGGAUCUGUAGACUCACUGGAAUGCUAAGACUAAAAAAAGGGAAUCUGACUAACUGUGGCUUUUCCAGCCCACCAGGAAAUGACAGAAGCAUACCCAGAUAAAUCAAAGAUGCUGUGAUUUGGUCAUCAUUUUGUCUGACGUGCAUCUGAACCUUGGUACUGAGUUCUCA